rnacentral:rRNA from 1 species
UACGAAGGGGGCUAGCGUUGCUCGGAAUCACUGGGCGUAAAGCGCACGUAGGCGGACUCUUAAGUCGGUGGUGAAAUCCUGGAGCUCAACUCCAGAACUGCCUUCGAUACUGAGAGUCUCGAGUCCGGGAGAGGUGAGUGGAACUGCGAGUGUAGAGGUGAAAUUCGUAGAUAUUCGCAAGAACACCAGUGGCGAAGGCGGCUCACUGGCCCGGUACUGACGCUGAGGUGCGAAAGCGUGGGGAGCAAGCAGGG